CUUGUCAUUAAUUCACUGGUAUCUACUGUCGUAGUGAACUGUCUCUACUGGUGUUAGAAAAGAAAGAUGAGGGCAGCUCCAUUGCCUUUUUGAUAUGUUAUUAUCCAGAAUAUACAUCACUUCAGAAUAGGGCUAAGAUACUGAUUUAUGCACAGGAAAGCUUGUUAGAAUUAUUAAAGAUACAGCCAUGAUAUUCACAUGUGGAAAAAGAGGGAAAAUGAAUACUAUCAGCCUGUAUUCCCAUAAGUAAAGAUAAAUGGGAGAAGUCAGGAGGAUUGCUCCUAAAUGAGAGGUCCUCAGAGGAGAAGGUAGUGCUGGAGUAAGCGCCAUUCAUUCUGCAGGAGGGUUUGGAGUUUAAAGAGCAAGGAAAAAAAAAAAGUCAGUACAAGAUGUCUAUGUUUUCUUCAGUUUCCAAACCUUACUUUGAGGUUUUUCUUCAAAACCUGUCUAAAUAAAGGGUUCUCAUACAGAACCCUGCCGAGUUUCCUAAUGGAAAAUUUAGUUUGUAUUAAAGUAGUCCUUAACCCACAGAUGUGCAGUUCAGUGAUGGAAAUUAUACCCUUCUAAAGAGCAAAUCGGAGGCAUGCAGUACAGAAUGUUCCUGGGUCCUAAAUAUUUAAUUUUUGCAUUUGUUAUUUUAUUCUGACAAUUUUUGUCUAUCUGUGGAGAGCAGUGAAAAAACACAUAGCUUCCAAAGCCAAGCUAAGAUGAAAGAUGACGGUGAUUUUUGACCUCAUCACUAGCUGAUAUAUAUGAUGCUGUUAUUCUUGGACUGGAAAAAAAGCCCCAAAGAUAAAUCUCAAUUCCCUUGGAAGCAAAUCCAUUAUUUGUUAAAGAGACUGAAAUGUGCCUUUAGGAAGAGCCAGACUGCAGUUGCAGCAGACUGGCAAACAUUAAAAGGGCAGCUUUAUGUUCACACUUCAAACUUGUUUACAAGCCCGACCCAGGAAAAAGCAUGAACCGAACUUUAAGAAGUCGACGUAUUUCAAAAAGUCAGGAAAAGAAACUUCCAGUAGCACCGGGAGACCGAAAAACGGGAUGGCCCCUCUCGGGACCGUGUUUCCCUCGCACCGGAGACUGAAAAGGCGAAGAGAGCAGCGAAGAGAAAACGCGAAGAGAGCACCGAGCCUGGAUGGCAGCGAGGAUCACAAGUGGACGCCGCUGCCGUUCGGAGGACGCCGCGGCGGGAGGUAUGUGCUCCUUGUACCUAAACUCAGCACCCAGCAAAAUGGGUCCUGCUGUGCCUACUGGAGACAGGGUUUAAGUUAUGCAGCUCUUGGCCACUCUGUAGUCUGAGAAACGUCCACGCCCCAACACAGGCGUUUGGGGAUGCACCCACAUGCUAGACCACACUCACAAAGUACAGGCAGAACAUGCCAAGCACCAGGCCCUCCUGUGCACUUGUGUCUGUUCCUCUGUGACUGAGUGGUGAUGCCCCCUGCACCCGCCUGAGAGGAAGUUGCUCAUUACUGGGACACUCUGUGGUGUGACUGGCAUGGAGUGCCCUCCCCAGGCAUGGCAGCUGGACACUGGGGCUGAGAGAAGCACCUCAGUCACUGUCUCUGCCUGCUUUUUGCAGUGUUCCGAGCUCUCCGUGGCAAGAGCAAUACAAACAGGCCAUAAUCUGAAUGAUCUGCCACCUGCUGAGACGGGAAGUCCUGGACUGAAACCUGCAGGUCAUGCAGGGGAGCACCACCACAUUCCCACAGUGCUUUGGAUGCCUCUGCAGCAGGAUUGACUAAAACCCUGUAAUCCAUUAACACUGACUGCUUUAAUGUUGUACCAGGGUUACCAUGGUUUUAGUAGCCAGAAAAGUCAUGCAAUGACUUUUAGAGUGUGCUGCUUUUACAGAUGUAUCCUUAAAUUGUCAUUUAAGACAUAAGGGGAACAAAGACCUUUUUAAAGUUGGACUCAAUAAAUUCUUAUAAAGGACAAUUAAAUUUAUAUCA
ensembl:lncRNA